rnacentral:tRNA from 1 species
AGCCUCGCAGUAUAAGUAUACAUAGAAUUGCAAAUUCUAAAAAGGAGGAUAGGGUUCUCCCGGGGCUU